rnacentral:tRNA from 1 species
GCCCGGCUAGCUCAAUCGGUAGAGCGUGAGACUCUUAUGGGAGAUACUUCCAGGUCCUCACGAGAUCAUCUCAAGGUUGUGGGUUCGACCCCCACGUCGGGCU